rnacentral:lncRNA from 1 species
CUUUUGAUGCUGCAGUUAUAACAAUUUUAUAUGUCUCAAUAUCAGGACAAAGCCCCAAUCUACAAACAUCAUUGAAAAGGUCGCUUUUGAUGCUCCAGUUAUAACAAUUUUAUGUCUCAAUAUUAGGACAAAGCCCCAAUCUACAAACAUUAUUGAAAAGUUCAAUGCAAAAGUCUAUCUCCCCGGUUUUACAUAUAGCUUCUGCCAACGAAUUGAAAGUUCCAACAUCUGGAACGAACCCCUCCUUUGUCAUUUUCCUCACCAGUCCUUUAGCUGAUUCAAGAUAGCC